CAGCCGCCGCGGGAAUACCGAGGGUGCGAGCGUUAAUCGGAUUUACUGGGCGUAAAGCGUGCGUAGGCGGCUAAUUGAGUCGGAUGUGAAAUCCCCGAGCUUAACUUGGGAAUUGCAUUCGAUACUGGUUAGCUAGAGUGUGGGAGAGGAUGGUAGAAUUCCAGGUGUAGCGGUGAAAUGCGUAGAGAUCUGGAGGAAUACCGAUGGCGAAGGCAGCCAUCUGGCCUAAUACUGACGCUGAGGUACGAAAGCAUGGGGAGCAAACAGGAUUAGAUACCCCUGUAGUCCCUGUCUCUUAUAC
rnacentral:rRNA from 1 species